rnacentral:rRNA from 1 species
CCUACGGGUGGCAGCAGUGAGGAAUAUUGGUCAAUGGUCGGGAGACUGAACCAGCCAAGCCGCGUGAGGGAGGAAGGUACAGAGUAUCGUAAACCUCUUUUGUCAGGGAACAAAGGCGGGGACGUGUCCCCGGCUGGGUGUACCUGAAGAACAAGCAUCGGCUAACUCCGUGCCAGCAGCCGCGGUAAUACGGAGGAUGCGAGCUUUAUCCGGUUUUGUUGGGUUAAACGGGUGCGCAGUCGGUCUGUUCAGUCACCGGUCAAAGCCCGGGGCUCAACCCCGGCCCGCCGUUGAAACUGGCAGUCUCGAGUUGGAGAGAAGUAUGCGGAAGGCGCGGUGUAGCGGUGAAAUGCAUAGAUAUCGCGCAGAACUCCGAUUGCGAAGGCAGCAUGCCGGCUCCACACUGACGCUGAGGCACGAAAGCGUGGGUAUCGAACAGGAUUAGAUAUCCUUGUAGUC